rnacentral:lncRNA from 1 species
UUUUGUGUUUCUCACUUUCGUGCCCUGCGCGAGUCUCUCCCUUUUCCGGCGUCUCUCAUAGGUUCACCACCGUCGAGUGAUCCGGCGCCUCCCAACUGGUCAUUCUCUCUGGCACCUCCCCACUCGGCAGACUCUCCGGCGCCGACAGUUGCUGCUCCUUCACCGGCUGAAGCUUCUGAUUCAAGGUAAGUUUCUGCGCUCACCAGUUGCUGCUCCUCCUUCACCGUUUGACGAGGGCUUCGGCGAGAGCCACCCCUCGCAGAUCUGGGCAACGGCUGC